UACGUAGGUGGCAAGCGUUGUCCGGAUUUACUGGGCGUAAAGAGCGCGCAGGCGGUCGUUCAAGUCGCGUGUGAAAGCCCCCGGCUCAACUGGGGAGGGUCACGCGAUACUGAUCGACUCGAAGGCAGGAGAGGGAAGUGGAAUUCCCGGUGUAGUGGUGAAAUGCGUAGAUAUCGGGAGGAACACCAGUGGCGAAGGCGACUACCUGGCCCAUUCUUGACGCUGAGGCGCGAAAGCUAGGGGAGCGAACGGG
rnacentral:rRNA from 1 species